rnacentral:rRNA from 1 species
UACGGGGGGGGGCAAGCGUUGUUCGGAAUUACUGGGCGUAAAGGGCUCGUAGGCGGCCAACUAAGUCAGACGUGAAAUCCCUCGGCUUAACCGGGGAACUGCGUCUGAUACUGGAUGGCUUGAGGUUGGGAGAGGGAUGCGGAAUUCCAGGUGUAGCGGUGAAAUGCGUAGAUAUCUGGAGGAACACCGGUGGCGAAGGCGGCGAUCCUGGACCAAUUCUGACGCUGAGGAGCGAAAGCCAGGGGAGCAAACGGGG